rnacentral:tRNA from 3 species
GCCGAGGUCGCCUAGCCAGGUAGGGCGGCGGCCUGCUAAGCCGCUGGGGUUAAUCCCCGCGUGGGUUCAAAUCCCACCCUCGGCG